GGUCCUAUAGUGUAGUUGGUUAUCACAUGGGAUUCUGAGCAUCUCGUUAAGCUUCCCGUGACCCAGGUUCGAAUCCUGGUAGGACCU
rnacentral:tRNA from 1 species